ACGAACGCUGGCGGCGCGCUUAACACAUGCCAGUCGAACGGAAAGGCCUGCUUUCCCUUGUGGAUUGCGGGUACUCGAGUGGCGAACGGGUGAGUAACACGUGAGUGAUCUGCCCCCAACUUGGGUAUAAGCCUGGGAAACUGGGUCUAAUUCCCGAUAGGACUGCAGGGUGGUGCCUGUGGUGGAAAACGAUUUUCUAGUGGUUGGGGAUGAGCUCGCGGCCUAUCAGCUUGUUGGUGGGGUAAUGGCCUACCAAGGCGGCGACGGGUAGCCGGCCUGAGAGGGUGGACGGCCACAUUGGGACUGAGAUACGGCCCAGACGCCUACGGGAGGCAGCAGUGGGGAAUAUUGCACAAUGGGCGGAAGCCUGAUGCAGCGACGCCGCGUGGGGGAUGACGGCCUUCGGGUGGUAAACUCCUUUCGACCGCGAGGAAGCCACCUGGUUGGAAGGGUGGUGACGGUAGUGGUAGAAGAAGCACCGGCUAACUACGUG
rnacentral:rRNA from 1 species